GUGAGGUCAGAUAUGACUAUUUUCUCAUCUUCACUGGUCAAUGAAAGUUUGUCUAAGAAGUCAAUAAUGUAUGUGGGAAAUUGUCUCCUCUUUACAGACCAUCCAUCCAACAUCAUCUGCCUCGGUAAGGAUCUGUUGCAGCUUUGUGUCACUGACUGUAUUUCUUCAAACUCCUGUUCCGUGUCACAUAGCUUAUGCAAGACUGAAUCAAUGAAGAUGCUGUAACCAUAAAGCAACCAGGACAACACACCUGGAGUGACCGAGAGCAGGAUGAAGAAAGAAUCGGAUGAAAAAAAUAUCAACUGGUGUCCAUGAGGAGACACAUUGUUCUUGGACCUGCUUUUUCUGUUUAGUAAUAAGUGGUUUUAUGUGGUUACAUAAAAGUAAUUUAAUAUUCAAUCCACAAGCUAAAUUUCCUACAUUUUCUUAAAAAGGUAGUUGACCCAAAAAGGAAAAUUCUGUCAUUUACACAAACAGUUUGGUUACAAACAUUUCUCACAAUAUCUCCCUUCCUGUUUAUCAGAACAAAGAAAUUUAUGCGGGUUUGUAACAACAUGAGAGAGUGUGUAAAUGAUGACAUAAUUUUCAUUUUUGGGUGAAGUACCCCUUUAACAUUUUUAUACCCAGGGGUAGGGGUGUGCAGCGGAGGCAGUAUUUGUAUCUGUAUUUGUAUCUGUAACAGUCUCAAAAUUAUAUGUAUCUGUAUUUGUAUUCGGAUGGAACCGGAAGUGGGCGGGUCUUAAACCGGAAGUUUGUCAUAUUACAUUAAAAUGGAAUUUUAAAU